rnacentral:rRNA from 1 species
UACGUAGGGGGCAGGCGUUGUCCGGAAUCAUUGGGCGUAAAGAGCGUGUAGGCGGCUCGGUAAGUCCGCUGUGAAAGUCCAGGGCUCAACCCUGGAAAGCCGGUGGAAACUGUCGAGCUCGAGUCCGGAAGAGGAGAGUGGAAUUCCUGGUGUAGCGGUGAAAUGCGCAGAUAUCAGGAAGAACACCCGUGGCUAAGGCGGCUCUCUAGUACGGUACUGACGCUGAGACGCGAAAGCGUGGGGAGCGAACAGG